GUCAAAGCGUUCAUUAAAGUCGAGUUGGCUUAGGGAUACGUUCGUUGGGUAGGGGAGCGUUCUGUAAGCCUGUGAAGGUGUGUCGUGAGGCAUGCUGGAGGUAUCAGAAGUGCGAAUGCUGACAUAAGUAACGAUAAAGCGGGUGAAAAGCCCGCUCGCCGGAAGACCAAGGGUUCCUGUCCAACGUUAAUCGGGGCAGGGUGAGUCGACCCCUAAGGCGAGGCCGAAAGGCGUAGUCGAUGGGAAACGGGUUAAUAUUCCCGUACUUGGUGUUACUGCGAAGGGGGGACGGAGAAGGCUAUGUUGGCCGGGCGACGGUUGUCCCGGUUUAAGCGUGUAGGUGUGUGUUCCAGGUAAAUCCGGUUCACUUUAACACUGAGGCGUGACGACGAGGCACUACGGUGCUGAAGCAACAAAUGCCCUGCUUCCAGGAAAAGCCUCUAAGCAUCAGGUAACAUCAAAUCGUACCCCAAACCGACACAGGUGGUCAGGUAGAGAAUACCAAGGCGCUUGAGAGAACUCGGGUGAAGGAACUAGGCAAAAUGGUGCCGUAACUUCGGGAGAAGGCACGCUGACACGUAGGUGAAGUGAUUUACUCAUGGAGCUGAAGUCAGUCGAAGAUACCAGCUGGCUGCAACUGUUUAUUAAAAACACAGCACUGUGCAAACACGAAAGUGGACGUAUACGGUGUGACGCCUGCCCGGUGCCGGAAGGUUAAUUGAUGGGGUCAGCGCAAGCGAAGCUCCUGAUCGAAGCCCCGGUAAACGGCGGCCGUAACUAUAACGGUCCUAAGGUAGCGAAAUUCCUUGUCGGGUAAGUUCCGACCUGCACGAAUGGCGUAAUGAUGGCCAGGCUGUCUCCACCCGAGACUCAGUGAAAUUGAACUCGCUGUGAAGAUGCAGUGUACCCGCGGCAAGACGGAAAGACCCCGUGAACCUUUACUAUAGCUUGACACUGAACAUUGAGCCUUGAUGUGUAGGAUAGGUGGGAGGCUUUGAAGUGUGGACGCCAGUCUGCAUGGAGCCGACCUUGAAAUACCACCCUUUAAUGUUU
rnacentral:rRNA from 1 species